rnacentral:rRNA from 1 species
CCUACGGGAGGCAGCAGUAGGGAAUCUUCCGCAAUGGACGAAAGUCUGACGGGGCAACGCCGCGUGAGUGAUGAAGGCUUUCGGGUCGUAAAACUCUGUUGUUAGGGAAGAACAAGUGCUAGUUGAAUAAGCUGGCACCUUGACGGUACCUAACCAGAAAGCCACGGCUAACUACGUGCCAGCGGCCGCGGUAAUACGUAGGUGGCAAGCGUUAUCCGGAAUUAUUGGGCGUAAAGCGCGCGCAGGUGGUUUCUUAAGUCAGAUGUGAAAGCCCGGGGCUUAACCUCGGAAUUGCAUUUGAAACUGGCAGGCUAGAGUCUUGUAGAGGGGGGUAGAAUUUCAGGUGUAGCGGUGAAAUGCGUAGAGAUCUGAAGGAAUACCAGUGGCGAAGGCGACUUUCUGGCCUGUAACUGACACUGAGGCGCGAAAGCGUGGGGAGCAAACAGGAUUAGAUACCCUGGUAGUCCACGCCGUAAACGAUGAGUGCUAAGUGUUAGAGGGUUUCCGCCCUUUAGUGCUGAAGUUAACGCAUUAAGCACUCCGCCUGGGGAGUACGGCCGCAAGGCUGAAACUCAAAGGAAUUGACGGA